GAUGAACGCUGGCGGCGUGCCUAAUACAUGCAAGUCGAGCGAACAGACGAGGAGCUUGCUCCUCUGACGUUAGCGGCGGACGGGUGAGUAACACGUGGAUAACCUACCUAUAAGACUGGGAUAACUUCGGGAAACCGGAGCUAAUACCGGAUAAUAUAUUGAACCGCAUGGUUCAAUAGUGAAAGACGGUUUUGCUGUCACUUAUAGAUGGAUCCGCGCCGCAUUAGCUAGUUGGUAAGGUAACGGCUUACCAAGGCAACGAUGCGUAGCCGACCUGAGAGGGGGGUCGGGCAACCCUGAAACUGGGAACCGGUCCAACUCCCAACGGAGGCAAGCAGUGGGGAAUUUUCCGCAUGGGGCGAAGGCUUGCCGGGGCAACGCGGCGUGGGUGAGAAGGGUCUUCGAUUCGUAAACUCUGUUAUUAGGGAAGAACAAAUGUGUAAGUAACUAUGCACGUCUUGACGGUACCUAAUCAGAAAGCCACGGCUAACUACGUG
rnacentral:rRNA from 1 species